UACGUAGGGCGCAAGCGUUAUCCGGAAUUAUUGGGCGUAAAGAGCUCGUAGGCGGUUUGUCGCGUCUGCCGUGAAAGUCCGGGGCUCAACUCCGGAUCUGCGGUGGGUACGGGCAGACUAGAGUGAUGUAGGGGAGACUGGAAUUCCUGGUGUAGCGGUGAAAUGCGCAGAUAUCAGGAGGAACACCGAUGGCGAAGGCAGGUCUCUGGGCAGUAACUGACGCUGAGGAGCGAAAGCGAGGGGAGCGAACGGG
rnacentral:rRNA from 1 species